rnacentral:rRNA from 1 species
UAAACGAUGUCGACUUGGAGGCUGUUCCCCUGAGGAGUGGCUUCCGGAGCUAACGCGUUAAGUCGACCGCUGGGGAGUACGGCCGCAAGGUUAAAACUCAAAUGAAUUGACGGGGGCCCGCACAAGCGGUGGAGCAUGUGGUUUAAUUCGAUGCAACGCGAAGAACCUUACCUGGCCUUGACAUCCACGGAACUUGGCAGAGAUGCCUUGGUGCCUUCGGGAACCGUGAGACAGGUGCUGCAUGGCUGUCGUCAGCUCGUGUUGUGAAAUGUUGGGUUAAGUCCCGCAACGAGCGCAACCCUUAUCCUUUGUUGCCAGCGGUCCGGCCGGGAACUCAAAGGAGACUGCCAGUGAUAAACUGGAGGAAGGUGGGGAUGACGUCAAGUCAUCAUGGCCCUUACGGCCAGGGCUACACACGUGCUACAAUGGCGCAUACAAAGAGAAGCAACCUCGCGAGAGCAAGCGGACCUCAUAAAGUGCGUCGUAGUCCGGAUCGGAGUCUGCAACUCGACUCCGUGAAGUCGGAAUCGCUAGUAAUCGUAGAUCAGAAUGCUACGGUGAAUACGUUCCCGGGCCUUGUACACACCGCCCGUCACACCAUGGGAGUGGGUUGCAAAAGAAGUAGGUAGCUUAACCUUCGGGAGGGCGCUUACCACUUUGUGAUUCAUGACUGGGGUGAAGUCGUAACAAGGUAACCA